rnacentral:rRNA from 1 species
GAUCCUGGCUCAGGACGAACGCUGGCGGCAUGCCUAACACAUGCAAGUCGAACGGGGAUACGAGAGCUUGCUUUUGUAUCUUAGUGGCGGACGGGCGAGUAACGCGUGAGCAACCUGCCCUUCAGUGGGGAAUAACGUCUGGAAACGGACGCUAAUACCGCAUAACACAACGGAGCCGCAUGACUUUGUUGUCAAAGGAUUUAUUCGCUGAAGGAUGGGCUCGCGUCCGAUUAGCUAGAUGGG